rnacentral:rRNA from 1 species
AUUGAACGCUGGCGGCGUGCCUAACACAUGCAAGUCGAGCGGUAACAGGUGUAGCAAUACAUGCUGACGAGCGGCGGACGGGUGAGUAACGCUUGGGAAUCUGCCUGUUAGUGGGGGACAACCCGGGGAAACUCGGGCUAAUACCGCAUACGCACUACGGUGGAAAGCCGGGGACCGCAAGGCCUGGCGCUAACAGAUGAGCCCAAGUCGGAUUAGCUAGUUGGUAGGUAACGGCCACCAAGGCGACGAUCCGUAACUGGUCUGAGAGGACGACCAGUCACACUGGGACUGAGACACGGCCCAGACUCCUACGGGAGGCAGCAGUGGGGAAUAUUGGACAAUGGGCGCAAGCCUGAUCCAGCCAUGCCGCGUGGGUGAAGAAGGCCUUAGGUGUAAACCCCUUUCAGCGGGGAAGAUAAUGACGGUACCCGCAGAAGAAGUCCCGGCUAACUCCGUGCCAGCCGCCGCAGUAAG